CUCCUCCACGUCUGCCUGGUCCCAGGUCUUCCGGGGCUUUAACUGAACCCACCACCGGGCGUUACGGGGAGCAAGCGAACCGCUGGAUGUUAGAUGUAACCUGAGCGGCCGCCUGACCACCCUGUCCCCGCGGGGAGCCAGAGGACACGCCGCCUCGUCCUCGCCCAGACCUACUACUCCCUGGCGGGGGAGGUUGGCUUCCCCGCCCCAGGCCCUCACCGCGGUAGUGCGCCUGGAAGCCGCCAGGCCUCAGCGUGGGGAACAGCACAGCCACUCGGCUCAGCAGCCUCUCGCAGGGCCCCGGGCCGGCCGCGGCUUGGGCUUCCGCCUCCGGCUCCGGGCUGAAGCAGAAGCUGAAGCGGCGGAUCUCGCGGGUCGCCUCCUCCUUGCCCAGAAGAUAGGCCUUCACCGUGAACGACGCCAUAACCGCGGUCUAGGUACGGACGAAACAGCUGGGCAGCGGCGGCGCCGAGAGCCCAGCUUUUAUAGAAAACGGGGGAGCCCCGCCUCGUGGGGGCGGAGCCUCUAUGAGCCCCGCCCCUCCCCUAGGCUGGGGCGGCCGCUGGAGCCCCCUUGAUGGGACCCUUGAAAGGUACGGGGUCGAGACGACCCCACUGCCUACUCUUUUCUUUCCCACCGAAUACAUGGGUGACCACAAGAGACCAGCCUCAGCCUCAAGUCGUUGGGAAAAGGACCCGUAAGUAUCGAGCCUAGGUACCUCCCAGGCUUGGGCCUGCCUAUGACUCAGCAGUGUCGUCCCCAAGCCAGGGGGGAUGUACGGCCCAGAAGCUAGGAGGACACAGAUGUCUACUGUCAGGUAGCCAUUCUUUUAGCCAAACAGGCUGUCUCACAGGAUGCUAUUCCGACCCUCCUAAACAUAGUGUCCCCGGUAGUAGCCCCCACUCCCACCCCCUUCCAGGCAUCCACCAUGACCAGCCCCUCACUGAAUAAAGGAACAUCACCCACCAUCUUAGGCCUCACCCAAUUUAACAAAGAUCAGGUUGAGAGGUGUUGGACAAGCACUGGUGACUUCUCACAAACCCACCCUGUAAGAGGGGUAGCCAGGGCUCCAGAGGCAGCAGUAGUCACAACCUGUUCAUUGCAACCAGAGAUUCCUCACUGCAGCCCAGACACACACACACAUACACACACAUUCAUAUUCUCUCUCUCUCUCUCUCUCUCUCUCUCUCUCUCUUUCUCUCUCUCUCUCUCUCGGAAGGUACAUGUAUCUCAGGCCUUAGUGGCUUCAAAGCACAAAGGGAUCAGACCACCUGCCCUCCAUCUAGGAACCAAAAUACAAGCUAUAGCCAGUCCUGUGCCACAGGUUGGUUAUUCCAGCUGUUUGAGGUGCUGAGGCAGGAAAAGACCAAGUUCAAGAUAUUCUGCUUGAGCAACUUGGUGAAACUGUUUCAAAAUAGAAAGUGAUCCUAGUACUUGGGAGGUCAGAGGUUCCAGAGUUCAAAGCCAGCCUUGGCUGCAUGAGGCUUCUAAGAAAGAAAAAAAGUCUGGGUGCUGGGGGGCGGGAAUAAAGAAUCUGGCUAUACAGUUUAGUAAGGAUACAGGAGAUUUAGCUUAGUAGGGAUACAGCUUAUAGAGAUUUAGCUUAGUAGGGAUACAGGUCAUGAGGAUUUAGCUUAGUAGGGAUAUACCCGGGAGAUAUCAUUAAUGGGAAUUUGGUGCAUAGGGAUAUAGCUCAGUGACAGAGCACCUGCCUAGUAUGUGUUACAUCUUAGGUUCAACCCCCAAUACAAACGCCAAAACCAGGAAAUGCUGCUUUCUGUGGCCAGAGUGACCUGUUAGCUAGCAUGAUGACACACAUCUGUAACCCCAGCCCUUGGGAAGCUGAGUCAAGAGGAAUUCUAAUUCAAGGCUCGGCCAGGCUUGCAUAGCAAGUCCUACUC
rnacentral:lncRNA from 1 species